rnacentral:lncRNA from 1 species
AUUGAGCAGCAAGAAUGAGAGUAGAGGGGGAAGCAAAGGUGGCACAUUGAUUACAAAACACAGCUGAGGUCUCGAUCACACUAGAUGUCUCCAGUCGGUCGUGUAGAAAUCUAUGUGCUCCAUAACAGUCUAUUGGAUGACCUGGCUCCAGGAUCAGGGAAGUCAGAGCCCAGACCUCAGUUCACGGUGCUUCCUCAGACUCUGGGAAUGCUGCAGGGAGCUGAACUUCAGGGGCCCAGUGGGUUCAGGCCCCAGGCACGAGGGUCUUUGCAGUCCCAUCAUGAAUCUUGUUCUGUCGCCCAGGCUGGAGUACAGUGGUAUGAUCUCGGCUCACUGCAAUGUUUGCCUCCAAGGUUCAAGUGAUUCUCCCACCUCAGCCUCCUGAAUAGAUGGGAUUACAGGCACCCACCACCAUGCCCUGAUAAUAUUUGUAUUUUUAGUAGAGAUGGGGUUUCACCAUGUUCACCAGGCUGGCCUCGAACUCCUGACCUCAGGUGAUCCACCUGCCUCAGCCUCCCAAAGUUCUGGGACUACAGGCGUGAGCCACCGUGCCCAGCCUAUACUUAUUCCCUGACUUCUCCCAACUAGUAUGUAAACUUCAAGCUGACAAGGAAUUUGUCUUAAAACAGUACCUGGCAUGUAAGAAGCACUCAAUUAAUAUCAUUCACUGAAUGAAAGAAGAAAGGAAAGAGCAUAUGACCAGAAAAACAACAACAACAACAACAAAAAGGAUAAGCAAGACAGUCUACGUUUAUAACAGAAGAAUUGAAUCCGGGGUGCUCGUUAAGAAUUGUGAUCAAGCUUAAACUUUUCCCGGAAAAAAAGGAGGUUUAAAUAGUACAAGAAAAUGAAUACGACAGAUUGCGUCUUGUAAUAAGUAAGUUUUAAAGAGAGAGAGUGUUUCAUGUCUGAAAAUGUCUAGCUAAUAGCAUCAUGGGCAUAAUAGUGGAUCUUCAUCUAAGUUUAUUCAUCUUUACUCAACUUGCCCUGGAUGGCCAAGAGACUAGCAAAGGUUGGAUGCAGGUAGAACAUACUCUGACUCAGGGAUACUUAUUUCAUGAUUAGACAGCAGUUUCCUAAUUGCUGUCCAUCCCUUCUCCCCAUGCACACGAUUCAGCCCUUGUGGUUAUCUCUGGAUACCCAUCACUUGGGUUGCUGGGCACUCCUGUGUAAAGAGAACCAGCCCUGAGAAAAGAGAAAUUUCCUUAAGCGGUCUACACCUUAAUAGAUGAGUGUAGUAGCAACAGGAGAAAUCUAUUUUACAGAUUAAAAUCAGAAGAAAGGAGAAAUUUCUGCUAAGAGAGGGGAGAACAAUAGACUGGCUAUCAACAAGAUAAACUAUAGAAAAGCAAUCACUAGUGUAUGAACCAUUCCUCAAGGCACUGUAGGUCAAAACAGAUGCACAUGUUGGAAGAUCUAGGAACCUGCAGAUGAAUCCCUCUAGAACAAGAAAACAACACUAAUAAAAGUUUAUAUUUAUUGAACUUUUUGUUAAGUGGUUACCUAAAUCUUUUAUGCAUAUUGAUGAGUUUAAUUCUCACCAUAACCUUACCGAGUAGGCAUCAUUAUUAUCUGAAAGGCAGCAAGAUUAAGUAAGCUGCUCAAGGCCACAUAAUUAGGAAAUGAAGGGGUCUUGAGAUGAACCCAGACAAUCUGGCUUUGGAGCUCAUCAUCAGUUUUUAAAAAAACAAAACAAAACAAAAAAAACCGUGUCGAGAUAUAAUUUAUACACUAUAAUAUGCAUUUUAAAGUGUAUAAUUUAAUUAUUUUUGGCAUAUUUGUGAAGUUGUGCGACCAUCACUACAAUUUUAGAACAUUUUCAUCACUCCAAAAUAAGCUCCAUACCCAUUGUCAAUCACUCUCCAUUUUUCUUCAGCUCCCCAAACCCAAGAAACAACUAAUCUACUUUCUAUCUUUAUUGAAUUAGCUCUUCUGAACCUUUCAGAUGAAUGGAAUUAUACAAUAUGUGGUCUUUGAUUCAUCCAUGUUGUAGCAUGUAUCAGCAUUCCAUUUCUUUUUUAUCAAAUGAUAUUUGGUUGUCUGGAUACACCAUAUUGUAUUUACCCAUUAAUCAGUUGAAAAACAUUUGCAUUGUUUUCACCUUUUCCUGUUAAAAAUAAUGCUUCUGUGAACAUUCAGGUACAGGCUUUCAUUGCUUUUGGGUAUAUAACUAGGAAUGGAAUUGCUGGGUCAUAUAGUAACUUGGUAUUUAAUCUCUUGAGGAACACAUGGUCUUAAUCACUACACAGGAUAUUUCACCCAGCGGAUAUGAAGUCACAACUGUCUCUCAAGAUUUUGGGGUUGUUAUUGCCUCUUACACUCUAAAAACUUUGUGUUUUUCUUGUUUUGAAAUUCAACAUACUGUUAUUUCAGCAUAAAAUGGAACUUGGCUAAUUUGAAGCUUGAGGUGAACACAUUUUAAUGAAUCUAUGAUAUGUGCCAAGGACUAUUAUAAGAUCUAUGAUGGACACAGGGAAAAAAUAUAUUUCUAUGAACAGUCUCUAUAACUUUAAUAAACCCUCAUUGAGCAUCC